rnacentral:rRNA from 1 species
UACAGAGGGGGCAAGCGUUGUUCGGAAUUACUGGGCGUAAAGGGCGCGUAGGCGGCUUGGCAAGUGGAAGGUGAAAUCCCUCGGCUUAACCGAGGAACUGCCUUCCAGACUGCUUUGCUUGAGGCCGGGAGAGGCGAGUGGAAUUCCCAGUGUAGCGGUGAAAUGCGUAGAUAUUGGGAGGAACACCAGUGGCGAAGGCGGCUCGCUGGACCGGUUCUGACGCUGAUGCGCGAAAGCGUGGGGAGCAAACAGG